GUAGGUGGCAAGCGUUGUCCGGAAUUAUUGGGCGUAAAGCGCGCGCAGGCGGUUUUUUAAGUCUGAUGUGAAGGCCCACGGCUCAACCGUGGAGGGUCAUUGGAAACUGGAGAACUUGAGUGCAGAAGAGGAGAACGGAAUUCCACGUGUAGCGGUGAAAUGCGUAGAGAUGUGGAGGAACACCAGUGGCGAAGGCGGCUCUCUGGUCUGUAACUGACGCUGAGGCGCGAAAGCGUGGGGAGCAAACAGGGAUUAGAUACCCUGGUAGUCCACGCCGUAAACGAUGAGUGCUAAGUGUUAGAGGGUUUCGCCCCUUUAGUGCUGCAGCAAACGCAUUAAGCACUCCGCCUGGGAGUACGGUCGCAAGACUG
rnacentral:rRNA from 1 species